rnacentral:rRNA from 1 species
AACGAACGCUGGCGGCAUGCCUAACACAUGCAAGUCGAACGAGACCUUCGGGUCUAGUGGCGCACGGGUGCGUAACGCGUGGGAACCUGCCUUUAGGUUCGGAAUAACUCAGAGAAAUUUGAGCUAAUACCGGAUGAUGUCUUCGGACCAAAGAUUUAUCGCCUUUAGAUGGGCCCGCGUUGGAUUAGCUAGUUGGUGGGGUAAAGGCCUACCAAGGCGACGAUCCAUAGCUGGUCUGAGAGGAUGAUCGGCCACACUGGGACUGAGACACGGCCCAGACUCCUGCGGGAGGCAGCAGUGGGGAAUAUUGGACAAUGAGCGAAAGCCUGAUCCAGCAAUGCCGCGUGAGUGAUGAAGGCCUUAGGGUUGUAAAGCUCUUUUACCCGAGAUGAUAAUGACAGUAUCGGGAGAAUAAGCUCCGGCUAACUCCGUG